rnacentral:rRNA from 1 species
UACGUAGGUCGCAAGCGUUGUCCGGAUUUACUGGGCGUAAAGAGCGCGCAGGCGGCUGGUCAAGUCCGAUGUGAAAUCUCCCGGCUCAACUGGGAAACUGCAUCGGAAACUGAUCGGCUUGAAGAUGGGAGAGGGUAGUGGAAUUCCCGGUGUAGUGGUGAAAUGUGUAGAUAUCGGGAGGAACACCAGUGGCGAAGGCGACUACCUGGCCCAUUCUUGACGCUGAGGCGCGAAAGCUAGGGGAGCGAACGGG